rnacentral:sRNA from 1 species
UCAAGUUGGAAGUGCGUCUUUUGGAUGCAGAAAACAAAGUCGUGGCGAAUGGGACUGGGACCCAGGGCCAACUUAAGGUGCCAGGUGUCAGCCUCUGGUGGCCGUACCUGAUGCACGAACGCCCUGCCUAUCUGUAUUCAUUGGAGGUAAUGGUGGUUUGGGACAUGCCUAAGGGAGGUCUUUUGCCCCCAUGUGGUGACCCUGGCUUCAGCAGGAGCCCAAGACAGGUGGAUGGGCAGGCAUGGUCCUCUGAGCUUUCUGAUGUUUCUCACCCUUGGUGGGAGGCCCAUGUUUUUUUGUUUUUUUUUUUUGAGAUGGUCUCACUCUGUCACCCAGGCUGGAGUGCAAUGGCCUGAUCACAGCUCACUGCAGCCUUGAACUCUCAGCCUGCAGCAGUCCUCCUGCCUUGGCCUCCUGAGUAGCUGGGACUACAGGCACAUGCCACCAUGUCUGGCUAAAUAAAAAAAAUUUUGUAGCCUGGGCAGAGUGACUCAUGCCUGUAAUCUCAGCAUUUUGGGAGGCUGAGGUGGGUGGAUCACUUGAGGCCAAGAGUUCAAGACCAGCCUGGCCAACAUGGUGAAACCCCAUCUCUACUAAAAAUAUGAAAAUUUGCUGGGCAUGGUGGCGAACACCUGUAAUUCCAGCCACUCGGGAGGCUGAGGCAGGAGAAUUGCUUGAACUCAGGAGGCAGAGGCUGCAGUGAGCUGAGAUCACACCACUGCACUCCAGCCUGGGGGACAGACUGAGACUGUCUCAGAAGGAAAACAUUUUUUUUUGAUAGAGAUGGGGUCUCAGUCUGUCGCCAGGCUGAUCUUCAACUCCUGGACUCAAGUGAUCCUCCUGCCUUAGCCUCCCAAAGUGUGGGAACUCCAGGCAUGAGCCACCUUGUCAUGUCAAAGGGAAGGCCAUGUUUUGAAGGGCAGGUUCCCAGGGUCAGCCAGGGUAGGGCAGAACCUCUGAUUGCUGCAUCUCUGCUUACAGGCCCAGAGGCAGCUGCUGGGGUGCAUGAGGGGCCUUCCUGCUGGAGGGCAGGCCGGAUGGGGCUUAGGCUGUCGGGGUGCUCACACCUGGUGCUUUGGCUGUCAUAGGUGCAGCUGACUGCACAGACGUCACUGGGGCCUGUGUCUGACUUCUACACACUCCCUGUGGGGAUCCGCACUGUGGCUGUCACCAAGAGCCAGUUCCUCAUCAAUGGGAAACCUUUCUACUUCCACGGCGUCAACAAGCAUGAGGAUGCGGACGUGUGUUGGGGCUCCUGGGUCCUUGUGGGGGCUGCUUCUGGUCACCCUCCACUUUCGCCUUCCCUGUGUCCUGCAGUUGAGGGCAGCUCAGGGCAAUGAGGCAAAUGGCUCCAAAUGGAGAGGGGGCUCAUGGGGUGGCUCUCCAGGGUCCUGGCUCUCAGAGGAAGUGCAGCUUUGACAGGGACAGGGGUCACUUGGCUCUGCUAUCCCCUAGAUCCGAGGGAAGGGCUUCGACUGGCCGCUGCUGGUGAAGGACUUCAACCUGCUUCGCUGGCUUGGUGCCAACGCUUUCCGUACCAGCCACUACCCCUAUGCAGAGGAAGUGAUGCAGAUGUGUGACCGCUAUGGGAUUGUGGUCAUCGAUGAGUGUCCCGGCGUGGGCCUGGCGCUGCCGUGAGUCUCUGCUGUGCACCUGCUCCGCCUGCCCAGCCCGGGGGCGUCACCGUGACCCUCUGUCCCUUCCCUCCUGGCCCGCAGGCAGUUCUUCAACAACGUUUCUCUGCAUCACCACAUGCAGGUGAUGGAAGAAGUGGUGCGUAGGGACAAGAACCACCCCGCGGUCGUGAUGUGGUCUGUGGCCAACGAGCCUGCGUCCCACCUAGAAUCUGCUGGCUACUACUUGAAGCUCCGUAUGUGGAUGUGAUCUGUUUGAACAGCUACUACUCUUGGUAUCACGACUACGGGCACCUGGAGUUGAUUCAGCUGCAGCUGGCCACCCAGUUUGAGAACUGGUAUAAGAAGUAUCAGAAGCCCAUUAUUCAGAGCGAGUAUGGAGCAGAAACGAUUGCAGGGUUUCACCAGGAUCCACCUCUGAUGUUCACUGAAGAGUACCAGAAAAGUCUGCUAGAGCAGUACCAUCUGGGUCUGGAUCAAAAACGCAGAAAAUACGUGGUUGGAGAGCUCAUUUGGAAUUUUGCCGAUUUCAUGACUGAACAGUCACCGACGAGAGUGCUGGGGAAUAAAAAGGGGAUCUUCACUCGGCAGAGACAACCAAAAAGUGCAGCGUUCCUUUUGCGAGAGAGAUACUGGAAGAUUGCCAAUGAAACCAGGUAUCCCCACUCAGUAGCCAAGUCACAAUGUUUGGAAAACAGCCCGUUUACUUGAGCAAGACUGAUACCACCUGCGUGUCCCUUCCUCCCUGAGUCAGGGCGACUUCCACAGCAGCAGAACAAGUGCCUCCUGGACUGUUCACGGCAGACCAGAACGUUUCUGGCCUGAGUUUUGUGGUCAUCUAUGCUAGCAGGGAACACUAAAGGUGGAAAUAAAAUAUUUUCUAUUAUGGAAAUAAAGAGUUGGCAUGAAAGUGGCUACUG